rnacentral:SRP_RNA from 1 species
CCGCGCUAGACGGGGAGGUAGCGGUUCCUUGUAACCCGCAGUCCGCUACAGCGGGGUUUAAUUCCUUUUUUGAGGGCAUGGGGCUGGGAGCAGUCCGGAUCGCUCUGGCGUUGAUUUUUCCGGUCUCGCGCAACUGGCGCCUUUGAACCGUGUCAGGUCUUGACGGAAGCAGCACUAAGGAGCGUGUCCCGUGUGCCGCGAGGGCGCCGGGGAGGAGUCGGGGCGCUUCGGGUAACGUCCGGGUUCCAUGUUCGAGAAAAGGCGCGCGG